AUUGAACGCUGGCGGCAUGCCUUACACAUGCAAGUCGAACGGCAGCACGGGUGCUUGCACCUGGUGGCGAGUGGCGAACGGGUGAGUAAUACAUCGGAACAUGUCCUGUAGUGGGGGAUAGCCCGGCGAAAGCCGGAUUAACACCGCAUACGAUCUACGGAUGAAAGCGGGGGACCUUCGGGCCUCGCGCUAUAGGGUUGGCCGAUAGCUGAUUAGCUAGUUGGUGGGGUAAAGGCCUACCAAGGCGACGAUCAGUAGCUGGUCUGAGAGGACGACCAGCCACACUGGGACUGAGACACGGCCCAGACUCCUACGGGAGGCAGCAGUGGGGAAUUUUGGACAAUGGGCGAAAGCCUGAUCCAGCAAUGCCGCGUGUGUGAAGAAGGCCUUCGGGUUGUAAAGCACUUUUGUCCGGAAAGAAAUCCUUGGCUCUAAUACAGUCGGGGGAUGACGGUACCGGAAGAAUAAGCACCGGCUAACUACGUG
rnacentral:rRNA from 1 species